rnacentral:misc_RNA from 1 species
AACGCACAUUGCACUUUCUGGUAUUCCGGAAAGUAUGUCUGUUUGAGUAUCAUCCUAAUUCUCUUAGCUAACAUUAGUUUGUUAUAUUAAGGAUAUGAGUUUUCCGGGUAUUUUUAAUACCUGGUAACUUUAAAUAUAGCUUUAGGCGGACUGGUUAUAACCGCAGUGUUUUUAUUACUUGGGUGAUUUAUUUCAUUCAUUAUUUAAGCAUUGCUACUAGUUCCCAAAGAACUCAGGAUAUACUAGGAGUGGGUAUUUAUACUCUACUACCUAACUUUUUGAUCUCAAAUCAGAUAGGACUACCCGCUGAACUUAA